CCCUGCACCUCCUGUUACGCCAAACGAAAGCACAACAGCAGCUACGUGGAAUUACCUUGAGAUUCAGUCUCAAAGGUAAUUGACAAAUUACCUGAGUCUCAAAGUUCUAUUUCCAGACAGCAAAUACAUGCAGAGAAUUUUCCUUCUUUUUAAUGGCUACCCUAUGAAGAAGUAUCACAAUGACCUCAAUCAAUACUCAACUGAAUAUUUUGCAUUUCUAGACUCUUGAAGAAACACAGUGCAUGGGGAGAUGGAGUCUCGCUUCGUUGCCCAGGC
rnacentral:lncRNA from 10 species